rnacentral:rRNA from 1 species
AUGGACAACGAUCUAACAUGCACAAGAAAAAGACACAUGGGUUCCUAUGAAUCCUACCAAGGAAAAGUCUUUAAGAAAACCAGAGCAAAUGUUCUGUUUACAGACCUUCCUGAGGAUAUGCUAUGUAUGGUUCUAUCAAAGUUGCCACUAAAGGAUGCUGUAAGGAGUGGCAUUCUAUCAAGUAAAUGGAAAGAUAGGUGGAUGUUAUGCCCCAAACUAAGAUUUGAUGUUCUCACAGUGUCCAAGAAUGUGUUUUACGAACAACAAUACACUCAGAAAUUCAUUAAGACUGUGAAUGCAGUCAUGCAACAACAUCAGGGCAUGGUUGUUGAAGAGCUCAUGAUCAAAUUUGAGUUUGACUGCAGGAUACUAGAUCAUAUCAAUUCGUGGGUUGCUUUUGCUGUAUCAUCGCAGACGAAGAGCCUUGCCCUUGAUAUAGCACCAACCGAUUACUUCGGUCGUACUGAUCAGUACAGAUUUCCGCUCGAGCUUUUAGACAACGGAAGCAUAUUUCAGCUUCGUCAUCUAAAACUUAGCUUUGCAUCAUUUGAACUGCCCCCUCAAUUCAGCGGUUUUCCAAAUCUGAGAAUGACUUGUACUUGUUACGUGUCAGCCGGAAGGAUCUUCAAGAUAUGCUGUCAAAUUGCAUUAAUCUUGAGUGGUUCAGUAUGUUUAGAUGCCACCUGA